UGCGAACUCCUACGGGAGGCAGCAGUAGGGAAUCUUCCACAAUGGGCGAAAGCCUGAUGGAGCAACGCCGCGUGGGUGAAGAAGGUCUUCGGAUCGUAAAACCCUGUUGUUAGAGAAGAAAGUGCGUGAGAGUAACUGUUCACGUUUCGACGGUAUCUAACCAGAAAGCCACGGCUAACUACGUGCCAGCAGCCGCGGUAAUACGUAGGUGGCAAGCGUUAUCCGGAUUUAUUGGGCGUAAAGGGAACGCAGGCGGUCUUUUAAGUCUGAUGUGAAAGCCUUCGGCUUAACCGGAGUAGUGCAUUGGAAACUGGGAGACUUGAGUGCAGAAGAGGAGAGUGGAACUCCAUGUGUAGCGGUGAAAUGCGUAGAUAUAUGGAAGAACACCAGUGGCGAAAGCGGCUCUCUGGUCUGUAACUGACGCUGAGGUUCGAAAGCGUGGGUAGCAAACAGGAUUAGAAACCCUAGUAGUCCAGAUG
rnacentral:rRNA from 1 species